rnacentral:lncRNA from 1 species
UUUUAGUAGAGAUGGGGUUUUGCCAUGUUGGCCAGGCAGGUCUCGAACUCCUGAACUCAGGUGAUCCUACCGCAUCAGCCUCCCAAAGUGCUGGGAUCACAGUGUGAGCCACUGCGCCUGACCCCAAAUAUACUUUUAAAUACAUUUCUGAACUCACAAAAAUGUAGAGGAAGUACAAAAUGAUUACACACACACAUGCACGCAUGCAUGCAAACAAUCUAGAGGUGAAACUAAAGUCAUCAGUCAACACAGAAGCCAGAGAUGCCCUGGAAGUGUGCCAAAACCAAAAACCUAGAGCUUUGUUAGUUAAUAUUGCGGCUGCCUGAGGUAGUACAUAGGAAUUGGGGCAAUCAAUAGGAAAAUAAAAAUACUUUCUUUUUUAAAAAGCUGGGAAUGAGAUGUCAAUAGGGGACACUGAAAUGCUCUGACACAUUCCUGGGAAUCUGCACCAAAAUGGGCUAUAUAUUUAGUGGAAAAGA